CCUGAAGUCUCUACGAAACCAACUACACUGUGACGUAUUUUUUUUCAUCUACACAGUGGCGGGAUAUUUUUAAAAAUAAACACUUUAAUAAGCAAAGUACUUUCAGAUAGAUCCAACUUCAAUCCCUUACAAACUAUAGAAUGCAUUGUGAAUUCUAUGAAUUCACAACGUAUGUUCUGAUUUAUGUUUUAGGUCCAUCUCUUCCCUCCUUCAGAUUUCAUUUCCUUAUGGUUAUUGUCUUAAUGUGUCUUCUCCUUUCACUCCCAGGGUAUCUGUACACCACCAAAGAUGUUUUGAAAUUAAAUGAGCCAUUGGUGAACUUCAAAAUGGGAAAUUAUCUGAUCAAAAUUGGCUAGAUCAGAUUUGGAAAUCUCCCACACUUGUCUUAAUCAGAACCUUGUGGUUCAUGAUUAUGAACUUAUAUGUAUAAUUUAUUGGAUUAUCCCAAUGUUUCAGUAUCACAAAUUAUUAAUAUUGGUUACAAAGAUC
rnacentral:lncRNA from 1 species